AGAGUUAAACAGUACGUGAAAUUGUUGAAAGGGAAACGAUUGAAGUCAGUCAUGCCGGUGAGAAUCAACUUUGGGGAAAGGGGAUUUUUUUGAACCUAACCUUGAAGUGCACUUCUUCGCUUGGCAGGUUAGCGUCGAUUUUGAACGUCAUAAAAUGAUUGGGGAAGGUAGCUCUUUCGGGAGUGUUAUAGCCCUUAAUUAAUGUGAUAUUUGGGAUCGAGGAUUGCAACGGAUACCUUUUUAGGCUAGCCGCCUAGCCUCUGAUUCGAUGUCGGAUUAUAGACAGCACGCUGACUAUGAUCUGAUUAUUGGUCAAAAGGUUAGAGUGAGCAUAAAUUCGUUAAGGAUGUUGACGUAAUGACUUUAAACGACC
rnacentral:sRNA from 1 species